GACGAACGCUGGCGGCGUGCUUAGCACAUGCAAGUCGAACGGAAAGGCCCUGCUUUUGUGGGGUGCUCGAGUGGCGAACGGGUGAGUAACACGUGAGUAACCUGCCCUUGACUUUGGGAUAACUUCAGGAAACUGGGGCUAAUACCGGAUAGGAGCUCCUGCUGCAUGGUGGGGGUUGGAAAGUUUCGGCGGUUGGGGAUGGACUCGCGGCUUAUCAGCUUGUUGGUGGGGUAGUGGCUUACCAAGGCUUUGACGGGUAGCCGGCCUGAGAGGGUGACCGGCCACAUUGGGACUGAGAUACGGCCCAGACGCCUACGGGAGGCAGCAGUGGGGAAUAUUGCACAAUGGGCGGAAGCCUGAUGCAGCAACGCCGCGUGCGGGAUGACGGCCUUCGGGUUGUAAACCGCUUUCGCCUGUGACGAAGCGUGAGUGACGGUAAUGGGGAAAGAAGCACCGGCUAACUACGU
rnacentral:rRNA from 1 species